rnacentral:rRNA from 1 species
AGCCAGACUCCUACGGGAGGCAGCAGUGGGGAAUAUUGCACAAUGGGGGAAACCCUGAUGCAGCGACGCCGCGUGAGUGAAGAAGUAUUUCGGUAUGUAAAGCUCUAUCAGCAGGGAAGAAGAAAGACGGUACCUGACUAAGAAGCCCCGGCUAACUACGUGCCAGCAGCCGCGGUAAUACGUAGGGGGCAAGCGUUAUCCGGAAUUACUGGGUGUAAAGGGAGCGUAGACGGCAAUGCAAGUCCGGAGUGGAAUGCGGCAGCUCAACUGCCGAACUGCUCUGGAAACUGUAUGGCUUGAGUGCAGGAGGGGUAAGCGGAAUUCCUGGUGUAGCGGUGAAAUGCGUAGAUAUCACGCAGAACCCCGAUUGCGAAGGCAGCCUUCCGGCGCCCUACUGACGCUGAGGCACGAAAGUGCGGGGAUCGAACAGGAUUAGAUACCCCAGUACU